CAGCAAAAUUCCUCCCUCCGUUUCCGCCUACAGAUUGCAGUUUGAAAGCAUUAAGUUUGUGCUCAUCUGAUCAAAGUCUAAGGCUGUGCCAGGAGAUCACAUGCAGAGCUGUCAGUACUGUGACGUUCCCUCCCCUCUCCCCAAUUCUGUCCUGAGGCUGGCCGGUGUCGGUGUGUCUCGUGAUCUUCAGGACCAGAUGGCUGAGGCAUUUUUUCUCUGAGUUCCGCUCUUUACUGGGCCCUGUGAUGGCAGAACUUGUGGACACUCCCUUCUAGGUGUACCCAAUAUUUUAUCGCUGUGACUGUCUUCUUUACAUUAAUUAGCCAUGAGUGUCUGCCUAAUUCUGGCCUAU